GCAAGUUCAAGACUGGAGAGAGGAGUCUGUAGGACAGGACACCUGUCGCCUACACCUUCAAACGUCUUCUAUUUUCGUUCAGUUAAGCAUUGCAAUGACAACCGCUGCUGAUGUUCUACGCAGAAUAUGUGUUUCGGAGGAGAACUACAAGAUUGCAUAAGUCAAAAGAAAAAUUCCAGGAUUGAAAGCACAAUAAAUGGACAAUUAGAUGCUGCUGCUCUGUCGUCAUAUAUUCCAGCCUGGUGAUCAAUCAAAAAAAAAAGACUUUCCCUG